UAAAAUCAUUUUCACUUCACAAAAGUAAAAGUAGAUUUAAUUAAGUUCUUUUUUUUUUUUUUUUUUUUUUACUUUUCCGUUUUCUUAUUGACGAGUCUAAACGUAAUUGUUCAACCUUUCCAUUAGGGGGCGUGUAUUAUUUACACUGCCACGUGCUCUAGGUUACGCUACUAACUAGGCGUGAUACUGCGCAUGCGCUUGAUAAUAGGCGCUCGCUUCAACGGUCUAUUGUAAAGAAGAUGGCUUGCAAUACAAAAGGCAGGGAACAAAGGCUGAUGGACUCACUAAGUACAGCUGUACAGUGGUGCAAAGAAAACGAGCAUCGCUUUUUGCAAAAGGUCGACAUGCCUGCUGUCCUGUCAAUGCCAGCUGAAGAAGCAGCUAAUGCCAUCAAGGCGAUUUUAGAGAUGCAGAAAGGCAGUGAGGAAGAAAGAGAUGAAGCAAUCGCUCCUUUCUUGUUUUCCUUCCAUACAUUUGCUGAUAUGGACUUUUUUCUUACUGAAAUAGCAGAUAGAAGAAAACUCAUGGUGUUCACUUUUUUAAAACCAAACACUUGUGAAAGGGAAUAAUAAAAAAGAGAGAAUAAUAAGA